UACAGAGGUCUCGAGCGUUGUUUCGGAUUCAUUGGGCGUAAAGGGUGCGUAGGUGGCGCUGUAAGUCGGGUGUGAAAUCCUGGGGCUUAACCCCGGAACUGCAUUCGAUACUGCAGUGCUUGAGGACUGGAGAGGAGACUGGAAUUCAUGGUGUAGCAGUGAAAUGCGUAGAGAUCAUGAGGAAGACCAGUGGCGAAGGCGGGUCUCUGGACAGUUCCUGACACUGAGGCACGAAGGCCCAGGGGAGCAAACGGGG
rnacentral:rRNA from 1 species